rnacentral:tRNA from 1 species
GCGAAAGUGGUGAAAUUGGCAGACACGCUGGAUUUAGGUUCCAGUGGGAGCAAUCCUAUGGGGGUUCGAGUCCCCCCUUUCGCACCA